UUUUGCCAAUUCAUUGUCCUUUUCCCCAGAGAGGAGAGAGAUUACCAGCACGUUCACUCUGCGUCUGCUUCUUUGCCAACCUUUGGGCACGAAUAUUGGAGUGAGGUCCUGGAUCCCUGAUGGAAGGGCUUGUCAAUAGUACUGUUAGUGAUUAGAGCACAUGUGAGGAUUUUGGAGUGUUCUAUCCCUUGAUAUGUAAUAUCUCCUGACAGCUUGCAAACUGUUUCUUUGACCUUCAUGAAUUGGAAACUGGAAAGCUUCAUUUUUUGAUCACCAUAAGUCUGUUCUUGGGAGAUAUUCGGUAGCAGGAGGUGCGCCCAGCUUUGCCAUAAACAGAGGAGAAAUGGAACUGGGAGACCUGGAGAAAUCCACCCCCAACAAGCCUAUUGGACUGCUUUGUACAUUGGGUGAUUAAAUUUUCUCCGACAUUAACAUAUGACACCCUGUUGAAAUGAUUUGUAAGUCAUUUAGGGUUUUAUAAACAGCUUCAUCUCUCAAUUCUACAUGAUGAAAAGCCAAAUAAUUAUUUAUUAUGUCUCUUCACCACUGGUGUAUGGAAUUUUUUAAAGAUUAAUUUGUACUUUGGG
rnacentral:lncRNA from 1 species